rnacentral:lncRNA from 1 species
UGGCGCAAUUCGCCAUGAAUGACGUCGUCCAGAAAUGGCAGUGAGUGAAGGAAUGCGCACAGUGUAAAUGCAGAACACAGAACAUAAUCUCCAAUUCUCAUCAGUGAAUCUGUAGCUUGACGGAAAAAUGGGGGUGCUUAUAAAUAAGACUUUUUGGGUUACUUUAGCAGCUCUUUUUAAACCAGAAAAGAAGAUAUAAAAUGUCUGAAAAGCCAACUUUCUUUUAGAAUUGGAAAGAAUAUCCGCCAUAUUUUUAAAGGUCUGGGGGUAGGAGUUCCAUGAGUGAAAUCAAGGGGUUAAUGACAUAAUGGAUCUCACAGAAACCACAGGAAAUAACUGACUGAUAUUAUGCCGCCAUUACUAUUUCAGGAUACGGCUGGGGAGCACUUUUCAUUCACUGUCGGAAGCAUGGAGUUGUGUUAUUACAACCCUAAUUUGAACCUUUAUUUCCCUAAUUAAUGAUGGCUUAAUAACUCUUUAUAUGAGUUCAUCCUACAUACAUCGAAAAGUAAUUGGAUGUAAAAAGGAAGUAAAAAAUAAAAUAAAUAAAAUGUGUCGACUGCUUUCCCCCAAAAUAUUCUCAAUAGUGACAGGAUUCUUCUUUCAUUUUUUAAAUACAUCACUAAAUAAAGCAUAGAUAAAUUCUGGGAGAUUCUCGGUUUUCUUAUAAAUUUAUAUUAAGGAUUUAGCAAAUCACAUCAUAAUCCAAUUCAGACAAAGCCAGGGCAAACAUUGUAAAUGAAGGAGAGAAAGAAACCAUUCCUCCUCCGCUCUGUCUGCCGGGUGUAAAGGGCGGAGCUUAUAACAAUGAUUGACAGGGAGCUAAGAUGGAGGUUGCUCUCUCUAUACUGACUGCCGGGUGUAAAGGGCGGAGCUUAUAACAAUGAUUGACAGGGAGCUAAGAUGGAGGAGGCUCUCUCUAUACUGACUGCCAGGUGUAAAGGGCGGAGCUUAUAACAAUGACUGACAGGGAGCUAAGAUGGAGGCGGCUCUCUCUAUGUUGACUGCCAGGUGUAAAGGGCGGAGCUUAUAACAAUGACUGACAGGGAGCUAAGAUGGAGGCGGCUCUCUCUAUACUGACUGCCGGGUGUAAAGGGCGGAGCUUAUAACAAUGAUUGACAGGGAGCUAAGAUGGAGGUGGCUCUCUCUAUGUUGACUGCCAGGUGUAAAGGGCGGAGCUUAUAACAAUGAUUGACAGGGAGCUAAGAUGGAGGCGGCUCUCUCUAUGUUGACUGCCAGGUGUAAAUGGCGGAGCAUAUAACAAUGACUGACAGGGAGCUAAGAUGGAGGCGGCUCUCUCUAUACUGACUGCCAGGUGUAAAGGGCGGGGCUUAUAACAAUGAUUGACAGGGAGCUAAGAUGGAGG